GAUGAACGCUGGCGGCGUGCUUAACACAUGCAAGUCGAACGAAGCACUUUAUUUGAUUUCCUUCGGGACUGAUUAUUUUGUGACUGAGUGGCGGACGGGUGAGUAACGCGUGGGUAACCUGCCUUGUACAGGGGGAUAACAGUUGGAAACGGCUGCUAAUACCGCAUAAGCGCACAGCAUCGCAUGAUGCAGUGUGAAAAACUCCGGUGGUAUAAGAUGGACCCGCGUUCGAUUAGCUAGUUGGUGAGGUAACGGCCCACCAAGGCGACGAUCCAUAGCCGACCUGAGAGGGUGACCGGCCACAUUGGGACUGAGACACGGCCCAAACUCCUACGGGAGGCAGCAGUGGGGAAUAUUGCACAAUGGGCGAAAGCCUGAUGCAGCGACGCCGCGUGAGCGAAGAAGUAUUUCGGUAUGUAAAGCUCUAUCAGCAGGGAAGAUAAUGACGGUACCUGACGAAGAAGCACCGGCUAAAUACGUG
rnacentral:rRNA from 1 species